GACACGUGUCAGGUCUAUCAUUGA
rnacentral:siRNA from 1 species